GUGUUGGGUCAGUAUUUAAGGUGUUGGGUCAGUAUUUAAGGUGUUGGGUCCUUACUCGUGAUGGGUGCAGAGUGAUGAGCUACCAGGAAGUAGAGUUAGGUCAGUAUUUAAGGUGUUGGGUCAGUAUUUAAGGUGUUGGGUACUUACUCGUGAUGGGUGCAGAGUGAUGAGCUACCAGGAAGUAGAGUUAGGUCAGUAUUUAAGGUGUUGGGUCAGUAUUUAAGGUGUUGGGUCAGUAUUUAGGGUG